rnacentral:lncRNA from 1 species
AUUAGAAGCUCGUAAGCCCUGGCGAAAUCAAGCAGUGAAGUGCAUCCUCCGUUCCUAACCCCAAAGCCGAAGCCACCGUGCACCUCACCAUAACCACCAGUAUCAGCCCCAAUAUGACCAUUAAAGUCCCCUCCAAUAACUAACUUCUCAGAUUGGGGAAUACGACUCACCAGAUCAUCCAAGUCCUCCCAAAAGCGCCUCUUAGCCUCCUCGUCUAAGCCCGCUUGCGGUGCGU